rnacentral:lncRNA from 1 species
GCCAGAGGAAAUAGUAACUUUGUAGAAUUUUGUUAAGUAGUUUUUAGAUAAGAAUCAAUUGUGUGUUUGUGAGGACGUUGCACAGUUAGGUGUGGAGCUAUGUAGAAUAGAUAUUAGUUCGUUUCUGUAAGAUAUUAGUAAAAUAGACUAAUAGUCGAUAGAAUAGUCAAUUUAAGAAGACGAAUGAUUGAUUUAGUAAUUAAAAGUGAUUAAUUAUAAGAUUAUAGUUAGAAUUUAGAAAUCAUGAGAAAUUAUAUAGGAGUUGUAGAAGUUUGUUGGGAUGCUAGACUGAGAAAGUCAUGAGCCGGGGUAAGCUUGGUACUACUUUUUUGUUUCUUUGUUUUAUUUGUUAUUGAAGAGUAAUGGAUAGUUUUUGAAUACU